GGAGGGAGGGGGAUUCGAGGAAGACUGAGAUUACCAAGGUGCGGGAUCUGGCCACUGACUCGGCGAGGGCGGCGCCCACCUUUGGCAGGCUCCAGUCUGAUUGGCUGGUGCCUCUCUGAGGACCCCGAGAGUCGGGAACAGGAGACCGGUUGUUUCCAAGGAGACAAGGCUGUCUGCUGGGGACCAACGGAGGGAGCGGCGGGAUUGGCUGGUGGAAGACUGCAGUAUUACCAAGGUGGCGCUGACGUCUCCGACCACUGACGCUCGGCCGAGGGCGGCCCACCUUGGCAGGCUCAGCUCCGAUUGGCUGGUGCCUCCCUGAGGACGCCGGGAGUAGGAAACAGGUAAGUGAGGAGUGAGAGGCCGGCACCCGCCCAACUCCCCCCCCACACUCGGGCUCCUGAGCGUGGGAGCAAAGGGACCAGGAAACCUAAGGCCCAGACUCAUGCCUGUAUAGAGAGAAUGUAUACCUGCUUAGCUACCUACAUACAUCAAUGAACAGAGAAAAUAUGGGUAUGGAUAGAUAUUGUAAUGCCGGAGAAACUGAGGCAGGAGAGAGAUUAGAGAGUUUUUAAUAGUUUAC
rnacentral:lncRNA from 1 species